GACUUAGUGGUCCAAUUGUAAAGCGUUUGCAGUGGAGCCAGAGGGUUUUGGGUUCGAUCCCCGAUGAGGUCA
rnacentral:tRNA from 1 species